AUGGCAUCGCCGGGAGCGGAGGCCGUGGCCGCCGUUGACCACCGCGGCCGCCCGGUCUCCCGGCGCUCCUCCGGCCGGUGGCCGGCCGCGCUCUUCGUCAUCGGGGUGGAGGUCGCGGAGCGGUUCGCGUUCGCCGGCAUCUCCGGAAACCUCAUCACCUACCUGACCGGCCCGCUCGGGCAGCCGACGGCGGUGGCCGCCGCGGCCGUCAACGCGUGGUCAGGCGUGGCCAUGAUGCUCCCGCUGCUCGGCGCCGCCCUGGCCGACUCCUGGGUCGGCCGCUACCGCACCAUCCUCUACGCCUCCCUGCUAUACAUCCUGGGGCUAGCCAUGCUGACCAUCUCGUCGGCGGCGCACGCCUCCGAGGGCACGCCACAGGCAGCAUCCUUGGCGACGGCGAGCCCGUCCGCGGCCCAGGUGGCCUUCUUCUACGUCUCGCUCUACCUCGUCGCCGUCGCCUACGGCGGGCAGAAGCCGUGCGUGCAGGCGUUCAGCGCCGAGCAGUUCGACGAGAACGAUCCCGAGGAGCUCGCCUCCAGGGGCUCCUUCUUCAACUGGUUCUUCUUCGUCACGGACGGCAGCGUCACCAUCACCGUUCCGGCCCUGAACUACGUCCAGGACAGCGUGAGCUGGCAGCUCGGGUUCGGGAUCCCGGGCGUCGCCAUGGCGCUCGCUCUCGCCGUCUUCCUGCUCGGAACCAAGACCUACCGCUUCUACCCUCCGGCGAGGAAUGGUGGCCUGCUUGCGCGGCUCGGCGAACCGCUUGUCGCCACGGUUCGAUCUUGGCAUUCAUCAUGGCGCACCUCCAAAUUGUCUGACGACUCACAGCCAUUGCUCGAAAGCUCCUCACUGUCACCCAAGGGGGGCACCGACAAUGCCGGUUCCCCUCGUGAAGCGGCAUCGCUACUUAGAUUGUUUCCGAUAUGGUCGGCAUGCCUGAUCUACGCCGUCGUCUAUGCACAGUGGCCUACUUUCUUCACCAAGCAGGCGAGCACGCUCGACAGGAGAGUAGGCAGCCUGGUGGUGCCAGCCGCUGCCAUGCAGAACUUGAGCCAUGUCGCGGUCAUGAUCAUCCUGCCGAUCUACGACCGGAUCCUCGUUCCGCUGGCUAGAAAGCACACGGGGAACCCUCAUGGCAUCACAAUGCUGCAGAGGAUCGGCGUCGGGCUGGCGAUUUCGAUCGUCACGAUGAUCGUCGCCGCGCUCGUGGAGAUGAAGAGGCUUGGGAUAGCAGCAGAUCAUGGCAUCCUGGAUGAGCCUGAUGCUGUUGUUCCUAUGAGCUUGCUGUGGGUGGUUCCCCAGUUCCUCCUGGCAGGGUUGACCAGCGUGUUUGCAUAUGUUGGCCUGCUGGAGUUCUUCUACGACCAGGUGCCGGACUCCCUCCGCAGCCUGGGCAUAGCUCUGUGCAUGAGCAUAGGUGGGGUUGGCUGCUUCAUCAGUAGCUUCCUUGUGUACGCCAUUGACAGGGUGACCAGCAGCAAUGGGGGGAGCUGGUUCUCGAACAAUCUCAACAGGGGGCACCUCGAUUACUUCUUCUGGCUUCUGGCUUCUGGCUGCCCUCAGUGCCUUGGGCUUCUCUGCUUACCUGCACUUUGCAAAGGCUUAUGUCGAAAAGAAAAAGAAUUAUUCAGUUUUGGUACAAUGAUGUACAGAACGUUCAGUGUAAUAAUCAUGGCAAGUAUCAAAGGAAGUGAAGUUUGCUACUACUGA
rnacentral:rRNA from 1 species